rnacentral:rRNA from 1 species
UGCCACAGCCGUAUCACCCUGCAGCCCAAGACACACACUGAUGAUAAGCAGGGCUGAGACUGGUCACCACCUGGAUGGGAGACCACAUGGGAAAUCUAGGUUGCUGUUGGAA